AUAGGUAUAGCUCAGUGGUAGAGUGCAUGCUUAGCACACACAAGGUCCUGGGUUCAAUCUCCAGUACUUCCA
rnacentral:tRNA from 1 species